UACGUAGGCAGCGAGCGUUGUUCGGAGUUACUGGGCGUAAAGGGUGUGUAGGCGGUGCUUUAAGUUUGGUGUGAAAUCUCCCGGCUCAACUGGGAGGGUGCGCCGAAUACUGAAGUGCUAGAGUAUGGGAGAGGAAAGUGGAAUUCCUGGUGUAGCGGUGAAAUGCGUAGAUAUCAGGAGGAACACCUGUGGUGUAGACGGCUUUCUAGACCAUCACUGACGCUGAGACACGAAAGCGUGGGUAGCAAACAGG
rnacentral:rRNA from 1 species